rnacentral:lncRNA from 1 species
UGAAAAUGAAGGGACCUAUCCUGAGGAUUCUGGAGCUGAAGAAAAGGCAGUGAACAAAGGAAUACAGUUUGAAGUAAAAGAUGGCUUUGAUGAAGUAGGGUUAUUAAAAGAGGAAACUGAUCUGCCAAAUCAAGACCUUGGUAAUGAAGGGACUUACUCAAAGGGUUCCAAAGCUGAGGAGUGAAUGACUGAAAGAAAUGUUUGAUGAACAAAUUGACUGUUUUUGAGUUCUCAAAUCUAUAAAAGAAACGACUUCAAGAUUAAAAUCAAAACAAAUAUAAAAAAGUGAAAGUUGUGAUUUAUUUGCUUCUUGUGUAAUAAAAGACUUUCCACUAUAAGUAUUAUUUUAGAU